rnacentral:ncRNA from 1 species
GAGAUCUGAGGGGGAUGGGUAUAAGUGAGGUUAGUGGCGGGUUUGACGUAAGUCAAUCACUCUCCACUAGUGAUAGGGUUAGAAGAAUGAGUGAGUUUGCUAGAGCUGCAUUUUCCAGGCGACGUUUGCAAUUGCAGGAAGGAAUUGUAUGAAUGAUGAUGGAUGGUAGAUGUGAGAAUGUGGGGGUACGAAUGUGGGGGUGUUUCUGAAUGGUAAUUUUUGUUGAACAUUGUGUUGUGAUGGGGCUACCAACCCUUAACUGUUUGGAGUUUAAAUUGGAAGUGCCCUUCUGGUACGAGGCCUGACCGGAGGCUUUUAAUCUGGUACCACGGGUAACCAGGAGCCCACGGAACUUGUUCCGUCCUGGUUAGUUGGUGCGGCCCUUCGGGGAGUAUCGUGGUGGUUGUGGUUUAACACCCAAAUGCGGGUAGAGCAUCGCUCGACGUGGAGUUGCGUCAUACAACCGGGUUCCGUGACCCAGAUUACGGAAGAGGCUUAGAUAGUCCUCGUGCCAAACCAAGGUAGAAGUCACAACCAAACAGUCGUGUCUUUAAUUGGUACCUGCGGAAUUGUUCCAAGGGGGCGGUGAUUGACGCUUGAAUUAAUCCUAUACUAGGAACCGUGAGAUUAAGCCAUCGCGGCAGGUGCUCACGUUAAGCCCACUGACUUUCAUGUCCCUAUCUACUAUCUAGCGAAACCACAGCCAAGGGAACGGGCUUGGAAUAAUUAGCGGGGAAAGAAGACCCUUUUGAGCUUGACUCUAAUCUGGCAGUGUAAGGAGACAUAAGAGGUGUAGAAUAAGUGGGAGAUAUUAGACUUCGGUUUGGUAUCGACAAUGAAAUACCACUACUCUUAUUGUUUCCUUACUUACUUGAUUAAAUGGAACGUGUAUCAUUUCCUAGCCAUUAUACGGAUAUAAUUAUUAUGUCUUAUGGUAUUGGGUUUUGAUGCAAGCUUCUUGAUCAAAGUAUCACGAGUUUGUUAUAUAAUCGCAAACAAAUUCUUUAAUGAGAGAAUGCAUUUAUGUAUUAUUGAUUUAAAAAUUUGGUAUAACUCCAAUUACUCAGGUAUGAUCCAAUUCAAGGACAUUGCCAGGUAGGGAGUUUGACUGGGGCGGUACAUCUCUCAAAUAAUAACGGAGGUGUCCCAAGGCCAGCUCAGUGCGGACAGAAACC